rnacentral:rRNA from 1 species
CAGGAAGAAAGCUUGCUUUCUUUGCUGGCGACCGGCGCACGGGUGAGUAACACGUAUCCAACCUGCCCUUUACUCGGGGAUAGCCUUUCGAAAGAAAGAUUAAUACCCGAUAGCAUAAUGAUUCCGCAUGGUUUCAUUAUUAAAGGAUUCCGGUAAAGGAUGGGGAUGCGUUCCAUUAGGUUGUUGGUGAGGUAACGGCUCACCAAGCCUUCGAUGGAUAGGGGUUCUGAGAGGAAGGUCCCCCACAUUGGAACUGAGACACGGUCCAAACUCCUACGGGAGGCAGCAGUGAGGAAUAUUGGUCAAUGGGCGUUAGCCUGAACCAGCCAAGUAGCGUGAAGGAUGAAGGCUCUAUGGGUCGUAAACUUCUUUUAUAUAAGAAUAAAGUGCAGUAUGUA